rnacentral:ncRNA from 1 species
AACCGCCGUGUACCGAACGGUACGCACGGUGGUGUGAGAGGUCGGGGAAUUUACAAAAUUCCCCUCCUACUCGAU